rnacentral:lncRNA from 1 species
CCUUUUAUUUUAGCUCCUCCCCUUCCUUUUAUAUUAGCUGCUCCCCUUCCUUUUCAGCUCCUCCCCUUUCUUGUUUUAGGCUCUCCCCUUUUUUUUCAGCCCCUCCUUUCCCUAUAGAACUCCUCCUGUCUUUAUUCCCCGUUUUUUUGCUCCUCCUUAUUUUUAUAACCUCCCCCUUCCCUUCCCUACUCUUGCGUAUUUAAAGGGUAUCUCGAAUCUCAUUGAUCAUGUUGCGUUCGACGACUUGAAAGAAAAGACUGAAAAUGAGGUGGUUCAUUGUAAACUUUUUGUUUUUGUUGGCGUUGUUGGUGAUGACAGAAGCUCUACAACAGAGCAGAGGGGGAAGUGUGGGCCGCUUUCCACACCCUGCGAUCGGACCAUACAUGUUUCCCUGUGCGGCUUGGCCUUGUCGCUGUAAUCAUCUGGUCUCGCUUGACUUGAACCUGGAGGACUUGCUAACGCCGUAGAGGAAUUCUGGUUAUUGGCAACGUGAUGGUUGGGGCUUUGGUAGCUUUGCAAUAUGCGGUGUACUUAUUUGUACUUAUUUUCUAUUGUAUCAGUGUGCCCGUGUCGCAGUAUCCGGUAUAGUUGAUUUUUGGGAGUCUGGUAUACUUGUAAAAAGCAAUUGCACACCUGCCAUUGGUUUCACUCAUGAAAUGAAGCUGAAGGCUGGAUUCUUGUGCAUUUGUAUUUUCUGUGAUGUGCAGUUCUCUGGCAAUAAAGUUUGAUUCGUAAUUUUUAGGGAAUUUGGAAAUACUGGGGUAUUGCCAUAUCUUCAAUUGAUAAUGACGAUAAUAAUGAAAA